UAGGGAAUCUUCCGCAAUGGACGAAAGUCUGACGGAGCAACGCCGCGUGAGCGAUGAAGGCCUUCGGGUCGUAAAGCUCUGUUGUCAGGGAAGAACAAGUGCGGGAGUAACUGCCCGCACCUUGACGGUACCUGACCAGAAAGCCACGGCUAACUACGUGCCAGCAGCCGCGGUAAUACGUAGGUGGCAAGCGUUGUCCGGAAUUAUUGGGCGUAAAGCGCGCGCAGGCGGUCCCUUAAGUCUGAUGUGAAAGCCCCCGGCUUAACCGGGGAGGGUCAUUGGAAACUGGGGGACUUGAGUGCAGAAGAGAAGAGCGGAAUUCCAUGUGUAGCGGUGAAAUGCGCAGAGAUAUGGAGGAACACCAGUGGCGAAGGCGGCUCUUUGGUCUGUAACUGACGCUGAGGCGCGAAAGCGUGGGGAGCAAACA
rnacentral:rRNA from 1 species